rnacentral:rRNA from 1 species
GACGUAGGGCGCGAGCGUUGUCCGGAUUUAUUGGGCGUAAAGAGCUCGUAGGCGGCUUGUCGCGUCGAAUGUGAAAUCUCAGGGCUCAACUCUGACAUUGCAUUCGAUACGGGCAGGCUAGAGUUCGGUAGGGGAGACUGGAAUUCCUGGUGUAGCGGUGAAAUGCGCAGAUAUCAGGAGGAACACCGGUGGCGAAGGCGGGCCUCUGGGCCGAUACUGACGCUGAGGAGCGAAAGCGUGGGGAGCGAACAGG